rnacentral:rRNA from 1 species
CCCCGGUAAACGGCGGCCGUAACUAUAACGGUCCUAAGGUAGCGAAAUUCCUUGUCGGGUAAGUUCCGACCUGCACGAAUGGCGUAAUGAUGGCCAGGCUGUCUCCACCCGAGACUCAGUGAAAUUGAACUCGCUGUGAAGAUGCAGUGUACCCGCGGCAAGACGGAAAGACCCCGUGAACCUUUACUAUAGCUUGACACUGAACAUUGAGCCUUGAUGUGUAGGAUAGGUGGGAGGCUUUGAAGUGUGGACGCCAGUCUGCAUGGAGCCGACCUUGAAAUACCACCCUUUAAUGUUUGAUGUUCUAACGUGGACCCGUAAUCCGGGUUGCGGACAGUGUCUGGUGGGUAGUUUGACUGGGGCGGUCUCCUCCUAAAGAGUAACGGAGGAGCACGAAGGUUGGCUAAUCCUGGUCGGACAUCAGGAGGUUAGUGCAAUGGCAUAAGCCAGCUUGACUGCGAGCGUGACGGCGCGAGCAGGUGCGAAAGCAGGUCAUAGUGAUCCGGUGGUUCUGAAU